rnacentral:rRNA from 1 species
AUUGAACGCUGGCGGCAUGCCUUACACAUGCAAAUCGAACGGCAGCACGGGUGCUUGCACCUGGUGGCGAGUGGCGAACGGGUGAGUAAUACAUCGGAACAUGUCCUGUAGUGGGGGAUAGCCCGGCGAAAGCCGGAUUAAUACCGCAUACGAUCUACGGAUGAAAGCGGGGGACCUUCGGGCCUCGCGCUAUAGGGUUGGCCGAUGGCUGAUUAGCUAGUUGGUGGGGUAAAGGCCUACCAAGGCGACGAUCAGUAGCUGGUCUGAGAGGACGACCAGCCACACUGGGACUGAGACACGGCCCAGACUCCUACGGGAGGCAGCAGUGGGGAAUUUUGGACAAUGGGCGAAAGCCUGAUCCAGCAAUGCCGCGUGUGUGAAGAAGGCCUUCGGGUUGUAAAGCACUUUUGUCCGGAAAGAAAUCCUUGGCCCUAAUACGGUCGGGGGGAUGACGGUACCGGAAGAAUAAGCACCGGCUAACUACG